AAAGCCUGAUGCAGCGACGCCGCGUGGGGGAUGACGGCCUUCGGGUUGUAAACCUCUUUCAGUAGGGAAGAAGCGAAAGUGACGGUACCUGCAGAAGAAGCGCCGGCUAACUACGUGCCAGCAGCCGCGGUAAUACGUAGGGCGCAAGCGUUGUCCGGAAUUAUUGGGCGUAAAGAGCUUGUAGGUGGCUUGUCGCGUCUGCCGUGAAAACCCGAGGCUCAACCUCGGGCGUGCGGUGGGUACGGGCAGGCUAGAGUGUGGUAGGGGAGACUGGAACUCCUGGUGUAGCGGUGAUAUGCGCAGAUAUCAGGAAGAACACCGAUGGCGAAGGCAGGUCUCUGGGCCAUUACUGACACUGAGAAGCGAAAGCAUGGGGAGCGAACAGGAUUAGAUACCCUGGUAGUCCAUGCCGUAAACGUUGGGCACUAGGUGUGGGGAACAUUCCACGUUUUCCGCGCCGUAGCUAACGCAUUAAGUGCCCCGCCUGGGGAGUACGGCCGCAAGGCUAAAACUCAAAGGAAUUGACGGGGGCCCGCACAAGCGGCGGAGCAUGCGGAUUAAUUCGAUGCAACGCGAAGAACCUUACCAAGGCUUGACAUGCACCGGACGACUCCAGAGAUGGGGUUUUCUUCGGACUGGUGCACAGGUGGUGCAUGGUUGUCGUCAGCUCGUGUCGUGAGAUGUUGGGUUAAGUCCCGCAACGAGCGCAACCCUCGUUCCAUGUUGCCAGCGCGUUAUGGCGGGGACUCAUGGGAGACUGCCGGGGUCAACUCGGAGGAAGGUGGGGACGACGUCAAAUCAUCAUGCCCCUUAUGUCUUGGGCUUCACGCAUGCUACAAUGGCCGGUACAAUGGGUUGCGAAACUGUGAGGUGGAGCGAAUCCCAAAAAGCCGGUCUCA
rnacentral:rRNA from 1 species